AGCGAACGCUGGCGGCAGGCCUAACACAUGCAAGUCGAACGAACUCUUCGGAGUUAGUGGCGGACGGGUGAGUAACACGUGGGAACGUGCCUUUAGGUUCGGAAUAACUCAGGGAAACUUGUGCUAAUACCGAAUGUGCCCUUCGGGGGAAAGAUUCAUCGCCUUUAGAGCGGCCCGCGUCUGAUUAGCUAGUUGGUGAGGUAACGGCUCACCAAGGCGACGAUCAGUAGCUGGUCUGAGAGGAUGGCCAGACACACUGGGACUGAGACACGGCCAAGACUCGUACGGGAGGCAGAGGUGGGGAUUCUUGCGCAAGGGGCGAAGGCCGGACGCAGCCAUGCCGGGUGAAUGAUGAAGGUCUUAGGAUUGUAAAAUUCUUUCACCGGGGACGAUAAUGACGGUACCCGGAGAAGAGGCCCCGGCUAACUUCGUGCCAGCCGCCGCAGUAA
rnacentral:rRNA from 1 species